CUGUCCGCAGAGCAGACCUGGACCCUGAGAACCGGGGACCGAGGGCAGGUCGCGUAAGGGGGCGGGCGGGCUCCUUGGCGGGGCUGGCAGCCGUCAGCCACCCCGGGGCGAGUCAGCCCCUGGGAAGCGGCGUCCGAGGACGACUCUCUGAAGCGGGCUGGAGCUUUCUACCGUAGCACCGAGGCCGCUGUCUGACCCCGUCCCCGGCCGGAGAGGCCGGAGCUGCUCAGGCCCCUGGGCCGGGGCCCUCUCUGGAGCUCGUCCACGAAGGGGGCCCAGAAGUGCUUUCGAAACUUCGGGGCUGGCGUCAGGGCCAGGGUACAGCCCCGGCUCAUUUCACAGAUAGAUUUCUGCUCCACUGGCCUAGUCUUAGCACAGAGCGGACAGAAGCCAGCUCCAGGAGACCAGAGUCUUCCCGCCCUGUUCUCCACCCCACUCUUCCAGAACCGUCCACAGAGGCCUUGUCCUCCAGGGCUGCUGACCACAGUGUCCCAGCCUCUCGAGGGGAGAUGAGGGGAGGAAACCAUCCCAGGGUUUUUAUUGCCAAAUAUUUCUUUCCCGAGGAGGACAACGCAGUCGACUCGCCAAGUGGAGAUUGGAGUGGGUCCAGCGGUAAACCAACUUAAUGAACACUAAUAGAGAGCUGCAGUUAUUGUUGACUUCAGAAUGCAAACAAGAACUUUAGACACUGAUUCCCGUCAGCCGGUCAGGCCGGGACAGAUGCUGCGCACUCUUUUCACCGUUGCUUAGCAAUGGGAAAGGAACUGGUCUGUCUCUUAUCACUGGAGGUGGAGGUAGGACAAAGCACUUUAUUGGACUGAAUAAAGUUUUGAACUUUUGCCAGGAGUGUCCUUCCAAAACUGUCAUUAGAGAAAAUAGCUUCACACAGAGACUCACAGACCAGAGUAGGAAUGAAGGUUCCAACAUGGCAGCAUGGCUCAGCACUGCCUCAGACCUUGUUCCUGCCUCACACGUGUUCACAACACAGGAGAAUUCUGGAGCAUCUGUUUCCUCAGAAGAAUGAUUGCACUGGGCAGUAGAGGAUCAUGCAGCUGGGCAGAAGGCUUCCCUUCCCCAGUGGGAAGAGGAUCUUUCUGCAGUCCUUUCGGAAGGCUUCUUCCAAGACUGAAGUGGUUUGCCAGAGUACAUCAUGUGAAAUGCUGGGCUGAAUGAAUCAUAAGCUGGAAUCAAGAUUGCCGGGAGAAAUAUCAACAACCUCAGAUAUGCAGAUGCAUGCAUGCAUGCUAAGUCGCUUCAGUUGUGCCCAACUCUUUGUAACCCUAUGGACCAUAGCCCGCCAGGCUCUUCUGUCCAUGGGAUUUUCCAGGCAACAAUACUGGAGUGGGUUGCCAUUUCCUUCUCCAGGGGAUCUUCCUGACCCAGGAAUCAAACUCUCGUCUCUUAUAUCUCCUGCAUUGGCAGGUGGGUUCUUACCACUAGCACCAUCUGGGAAACCUGAUUAGCAGUUGACACCACCCAAAUGGCAGACAGUGAAGAGGAACUAAAGGACCUCUGGAUGAAGGUGAAAGAGGAGAGUGAAAAAAGCUGGCUUAAAACUCAACAUUCAAAAAACUAAGAUCAUGGCAUCUGGCCCCAUCACUUCAUGGCAAAUAGAAGGGGAGAAAAUGGAAACAGUGGCAGAUUUUAUUUUCUUGGGCUCCAAAAUCACUGCUGACUGUAACUGCAGCCAUGAAAUUGAAAGACGCUUGCUCUUUGGAAGGAAAGCUAUGACAAACCUAGACAGCGUAUUAAAAAACAAAGACAUCAUUUGCCAACAAAGGUCUGUAUAGUCAAAUAUAUGGACCAUAAAAAAGGCUAGGUACCGAAGAACUGAUGCUUUUGAACUGGAGUGUUGGAGAAGACUCUUGAGAGUCCCUUGGACUGCAAAGAGAUCCAGCCAGUCCAUCCUAAAGGAGAUCAGUCCUGGGUGUUCAUUGGAAGCACUAAUGCUGAAGCUGAAGCACCAAUGCUUUGGUCACCUGAGCGAAGAACUGACUCAUUGGGAAAGACCCUGGUGCUGGGAAAGAUUGAAGGCAGGAGGAGAAGGGGACGACAGAGGAUGAGAUGGUUGGAUGGCAUCCCCAACUCAAUGAACUUGAGUUUGUGCAAACUCCAGGAGAUGGUGAAGGACAGGGAAGCCUGGUCUGCUGCAGUCCAUGGGGUCCCAAAAAGCUGGGCAAGACUGAGAGACUAACACACAAUGUGUCAGUGGGUAGAGUUAGGUCAGUUCAUGAACAUGUGGAUGGGAAAAUAAUUGAUAUUUAUUUUCACUAGCUCUAACUAAAAUUUAGAAAUUCAGCAAUUAAUGUAGACAACAGACCACAGUAAUCUUUUGGUACCUGUGAUUUAGUCAUUAAUAAGAAUACAGAUGUUUUUAUAUUAUACUACAGUCUUUGUAAGUAUCUCAAAAUAUUAUUUAUGUUCAUCAGUACUUGGAAAUUUAUAGUAGCUAUUAGAUUUUCUGCUAAAUCUUGUUAUUUUAAAAAGAAGCACAUUUACUAUAUAUCAUAGUAUGUCAUAAAUUUUAAUUAAUAGCUGAAUUUUAGCAUAAUUGAUUUCCUUUGUAAUCCUAUAAUUUUUACCUUAGCCAUUUAAAAACGCACCAGAGGAUCCAUAGCAUAAAAAAGGUUAGAAACUCAUUCUCUAGAAGUGUAUCUGUAUGACUUCAGUGUGAAAAAGGAUUUCUUAAACAAGACAAAAAUACCAGCAUAAAGGAAAGAACGAUAAAUUUGACUAGAUUAGAAAUUGUAAACUUUCCCCAUCAAAUAUACCAAAGAUGGUCCCUGAAUUACUGACUUACAAUUUUUUUUACCUUAUGACAAUAUCACUAUCUUUAUUUUCCAGGAGACUCAGAGAAAGCCACAACACUGCUUAUUCAGAGCCUGGAUUUGAAACACAUUUUUUAACAUCACAUCUGCCCAUUUAAUGAUAGCCAUCAUAUUUAUAACACUCACUAAGAUUCAUGGAGUGCUGACCAAAGACACUUAUUCCUUGGAAGAAAAGUUAUGACCAACCUAGACAGCAUAUAAAAGGCAGAGACAUUACUUUCCCAACAAAGGUCCGUCUAGUCAAGGCUAUGGUUUUUCCAGUGGUCAUGUAUGGAUGUGAGUUGGACUAUAAAGAAAGCUGAGUGCCAAAGAAUUGAUGCUUUUGAACUGUGGUAUUGAAGAAGACUCUUGAGAGUCCCUUGGACUGCAGUGAGAUCCAAGCAGUCCAUCCUAAAGGAGAUCAGUCCUGGGUGUUCAUUGGAAGGACUGAUGCUGAAGCUGAAACUCCAAUACUUGGGCCACAUGGUAUGAAGAACUGACUCGCUAGGAAAGACCCUGAUGCUGGGAAAGAUUGAAGGUGGGAGGAGAUGGU